CUAGUACUCCCUCCGUCCCAAAAUUCUUGUCUUAGAUUUGUCUAGAUACGGAUGUAUCAAGUCACGUUUUAGUAUUUGAUACAUCCGUAUCUAGACAAAUUUAAGACAAGAAUUUUGGGACGGAGGGAGUACAUC
rnacentral:pre_miRNA from 1 species